GCGACUUAUAUUCUGUAGCAAGGUUAACCGAAUAGGGGAGCCGAAGGGAAACCGAGUCUUAACUGGGCGUUAAGUUGCAGGGUAUAGACCCGAAACCCGGUGAUCUAGCCAUGGGCAGGUUGAAGGUUGGGUAACACUAACUGGAGGACCGAACCGACUAAUGUUGAAAAAUUAGCGGAUGACUUGUGGCUGGGGGUGAAAGGCCAAUCAAACCGGGAGAUAGCUGGUUCUCCCCGAAAGCUAUUUAGGUAGCGCCUCGUGAAUUCAUCUCCGGGGGUAGAGCACUGUUUCGGCAAGGGGGUCAUCCCGACUUACCAACCCGAUGCAAACUGCGAAUACCGGAGAAUGUUAUCACGGGAGACACACGGCGGGUGCUAACGUCCGUCGUGAAGAGGGAAACAACCCAGACCGCCAGCUAAGGUCCCAAAGUCAUGGUUAAGUGGGAAACGAUGUGGGAAGGCCCAGACAGCCAGGAUGUUGGCUUAGAAGCAGCCAUCAUUUAAAGAAAGCGUAAUAGCUCACUGGUCGAGUCGGCCUGCGCGGAAGAUGUAACGGGGCUAAACCAUGCACCGAAGCUGCGGCAGCGACACUAUGUGUUGUUGGGUAGGGGAGCG
rnacentral:rRNA from 1 species